ensembl:lincRNA
CCAGAAAUAGCUUCUUCAAAAUUAAAACGGGUCUUGAAAGUUCAUUGUUAGAAAUUGUUUUGGUUUCCCUGUGGCUGAAUAAUUAAUCCAGACAUGGUAAGACAUAGUACAAGGCCAUGUGCAUCUCCCCUGUUUCUACUUCUCCAGGUACCAUUCCUGGGAGGAUUCCUUGAGGCACCAGCAGAGCAGCUUCCAGAAUACAAGUCGUUAAGGAGCACAAAAAUGUAUUUCAAAUGCACAACUGUAAUGCCUUCUGCAUUGAGACAUGUCUACAAUACACAUGGUCCAACUGCAUUACCAACUGCACCAUAGACACAGUACCUGACUUAAAUAGCAGAAGAUAAGAAACUUGAAUAUUUGUAGCCUUUGGACACAUUCUUCUGAGAUAGGACAUUCUUUGUUCCCUAAACCUGUAUGGGACAUUAGAGUUUCCUACCCAGUAUGUCCCAGUGCUCAAACUAUUUUGUAUUAUCUUCAGAGUUUUUCUUUCCGUCUUAAUUAAAAGAGUAGUUUUUACAGAGCUACAGAAUAAAUAAAACUCUGACGUAUUUUCACAUUCACACAUUGAACAUUUCACGUAUGUUUGACAGUUCAAUAUUAAACCUAAAUUCCCUUCCCCCACCAUAAAUUAUGAAGCAUAUAUUGCCAUCUAGCGUCCUUCUGAAAUGACGCUUCUGCCAAGAUUAUGAAAUAAAACAUGUUCAGUCAGACAAAGGAGAUGUAAAACUUUUGCAAGGGG